UACAGAAUGAAAAAAUAGUUUCUUCUCUUAUCUAAUUUUAUCAAGCGAGGUGCUAACUGGCAGCGCUAAUAAGUAGUGUCACGGACAGCCCUCUAUGCAGAGGUUGCCUGGGGGCAGAGGAAACAGCCGCUCACGUUCUGCUGGAAUGCAGUGAGGUGGCAAACUACAGGGCGAAGCACCUGGGGUCACCAGGCGCUCUUCGGGAAGUCUUCCGAGACGGUGAGAAGUUGGGGGACUUCUUGGAGGAGCUUGGCUGGAGGCUUGGAGUAGCCUCUACCACCCUCGCACGCAAAAUAGGCGCAUAUGACGUCGAGUUGCGGAAAGCGCCCGUAUGAAGAAGAAGAAGAAGAACUAAUAAAAUGCCGAAUCGUUUGAAUCUAUAGAAAUAUGUGCAUCCUAGAUAUUAAAAAUGUAUAAUAUUAUAUCAAGCUUUUUUAAGAAUUUGCCAAUAAUAUUUAAUAUCGUUAAGAAUUAUUUCGUAAAAUAUAUAUAAUAUUGACACACUUUUUACACAAAUUAUCUUGCCCCAAGUUAAGCAUAUAUAGCCUGUGUUAUGGGUUACAAGACAAUGAUAUAUUUAAUACAAUAUACUUACUUAAACAUACAUAUAUUCAUAUAAACAUACAUAAAUACAUUUAAACAUCCAUGGCUCGAAAACAAACAUCUAUAUUCAUCAUAUAAAUGCUUGCACCUAACGGGAUUCAAACCCGGGACCUCUAGCUUAGUAGGUAGGAUCGCUAACCACUCGGCUGUACAGGUUGUCAAAAUAUGCUCCCUGUUUUUAUAUUGAAAUUGUUUCACAGCAGAACUGUCAAACCGUGCGUUAAUAAAUACAGUUAUAGAAAAUAUGUCGAUACCCAACAAAUAUUGGAAAUAAAAAUAAUUAUGGGUCGUAAAUCGAAAUAAAAUCUUAUCUCUCAAAUUGGACUAAACUACACUCCAAGAAAGUAUUCCCCAUUAAAAUCCGUUCAUUACUUUAUGAGUUCACUGGAAACAAACAUCAGGACACUGGAUUUAUAUAUAUUAAGAUUAUCAAUAUGCCGUUAAUUUUUCUUUAAUUUAUCAAAACCACCAGAUUGCACAUCCACUUUAUAAAACGUAUUUAUCGGCGCAGUGAAAUGUCUAAAAGUAUUUCAAAUGACCUUGCCUUUCAGUGAAAGUAAUCAGGCGGUCGGCGUUCGGCGCGCGAAACACGAUAUGCUAUGACGUCACAGGCGCGGGCCGUGCGCAACGCUGGAUCGCAAAUACACUGAAUCAUUCCAUAACAGAAAACAAUUAGUUUGAAUUUCGAAUUCUGCUACACUCAUAUUUUACACUACCCUCCAUACACUUCCUACGUUUAUUCUUUUAUGAAGGAAAAAGUAUGCCUCAGACCUGAGAAGAACGGUCGCAAAACUCAACGGGUAUAUAUCCCUAAUCGGUACAGAAUGCAGUGGUGGUAGGUAAAAACCUUGAAAAAGUGAAUGCGUCGCGUCGAAAUUUCAAGUCGUUUGGACUUUUCGGGUAUUGAGACAAAAAAUAUACGCAGACUG